rnacentral:rRNA from 1 species
UACGAAGGGAGCUAGCGUUGUUCGGAAUCACUGGGCGUAAAGCGCACGUAGGCGGAUGUGUCAGUCAGGGGUGAAAUCCCGGAGCUCAACUUCGGAACUGCCCUUGAUACAGCACGUCUUGAGUCCGGAAGAGGUGGGUGGAAUUCCUAGUGUAGAGGUGAAAUUCGUAGAUAUUAGGAAGAACACCAGUGGCGAAGGCGGCUCACUGGCCCGGUACUGACGCUGAGGUGCGAAAGCGUGGGGAGCAAACAGG